CAAGGCAUUGGUUGCUCACUCUCCCUCAAGGGCUUCUCCAAUGUGCCCUAGCAUGCAUGCAUCCAAACAUUAAAAGAAGAACGAAAGAGAAAAAACAUUUUCGACUAGCUGGGGUAUGGAUGCGAGAAGCUCUUGCAGGGGGAGUGAACAAGCAGUGACUUG
rnacentral:pre_miRNA from 1 species